rnacentral:misc_RNA from 1 species
GGCAUGUCACGGGACGGAAUGAAUUUAAAGAAAAUGAUCAUUAGGCAGUAAAUAACAAGUUGGAUGUGGCCAGAGAGAUGAUUAACAGGCAGCUUGGCAAUGGAUGAUGGAGGCCCAUCUCUGCUUGAUGUGAUCAGUGACCCACUUCUUCUCCAGUCCUUUCUAGAAGGUGAAAUACAACAUUUAGGAAAAACUCAAGAAGAUGGAAAAGUCUCAAAGUCAAUGAUAUCUGCCUCCCAGCUAUCUGGUCAAGAGCAUGUAAGGGCUCCUGAUGUUGUUCAGACACAGGGCCUUUUUCCUGCUAUUGGCCUGAAGCCGUCCUUAGAGUCUAUGGGAUACAGCUUUCAUGGUGCCGUAGUUACAUCAAUGCCCAAUUCUUUAGGGAUGGGAACCUCCAUGAUUAGUGGACUUCCAGUCUCUUCUGCAACUAAUACACUUCUGCAACUUUCUGCCGAUCCAACUAUGCAGCAGAAUUUUUCUUUAGCAGAUGCAGCAUCAUUCCGAGUGUCAUCCUCACCAGCUGUCACAACUUUCCAGUAUCUACAAUCUCAAGCAGGCUUGGUAGUUCCUCCUACUCUCUCAGCAUCUGGUGCAACCAUUCACCACAUACCUUCUCCUGGUGGUGCCACUAUCCAUCACAUUCCAUCUUCAGUACAGUCACAACACCAUCGCCCUUCAUCAGCUCCAGCUCCACAGAUUGCUACUCCCUCUCCUUACAAUGUAAAAUCUCCAGGCCAAGGCCCUUCAUCAGUCCACAGUCUGCCUCCUCAAUCACCAAAUCAGCAGACCCGUUCUCCAAAACAAUCUCAUACUUCCUCUCCUGUACCCUCUUGGUCUCCAGUACCAAGUGCAUUAUCUUCAGCUGCUGGUCGUGGGUCAGGACUUUCAGGUAAACCACAGGUUUUUUAUACAACUGGUGCUGUUAAUCCAGUAACUCCAUCUUCAGUCAGCCAGAAAAGUCACCAGUUGCCUCAAACUACUCUUCAGAAACAAAAUCCAGGAAAGGCACAAACUACAACUAAUUCAUUUACAACAGCACAAAUGCAAGUACCCAAACAACCUGUAGUUCAAAUUCUUGCUCCUCAACAAAAUACUGUAGGUAUGCCACGAGCUUUGCAUAGCUCUGGUCGUCCCAUUCAGCCAAAACCUCAGCAGAUUUUACCAAAGCCUACCGUUUCUUCUAAUCAAUUCUCUGCUUCUCUUUUGAAAUCAAGUGGUGGCAGUGGGUCCCCCUCAGUUCACCCAAACCAGGGGCCUAUGAGUAUUGGCCUGAAUGGCCCAAUUAAUGGGCCACCUUUGGUUUUGGGACAAAGCCAGCCUGGAGUGAUAGCUGGUCCUCAGGGAACAAUUGUACUUAAUCAAAUUAUUCCAGGCCUUCCAGGGCAAAAUCCUAUAUUAAUACAAGGAAAUCUAGGAAGCCUUGGAGGUGUUCAGGGUGUUCAGUUAGCACUUCGACCACAACAUCCUGGUUCUCUCACAGUUUCUACCCACUCGGGUCAUGUUGUGGCUGCCAAUAAUUCUGCACUAGUAGCUGCUCUCCAGAAUUCUGGCCAACCGUCUCAGCACCUUUUGGACCAAGGUAAAAGUCCACUUGCAGGACAACAAACUUUAUUCAUUCCAAAUACAAUAACACAACAAGGCCUCCCUACACAAGGUCUUACCUUGGGGGGCACUGGAAUACCAAGUAACUCUAUUGUACAGUCUUCAGCUCAUCCACCUACAGUUCUGAAUGCUCGACCCAACAUUAUACUGGCCCCUCGAGUCAUGGGAUCCAAUCAGUGUAUUCAGCUUCAGCAAAUUCAAACACCUCAAGGACCAAUCACAGUAGCACUGGCACCUGGUCAAACCAUUACAUUGCCACAACUUCAAACUGCAAUGGGAGGAACUGUUUCUGUUCCUAGUGUUCUUGCACCUGGUCAGAGUGUUUUACCCAGUUUACCUGUACAGCAUCCUUUGUCACAGUCUCUUGUUCAACCUCAGCAACAACCGUUACAUGAUAUUCAGACUCAGCAAAUAGUCAGUGGAGUGACUCCAGCUCUUCAACCUUUUUUACACAAAACAGAACCUCAGACUUAUGUUCAAGUGUCCCAGAGUUCUCCUCCUCCUCCUCAGGAUGUACAGAAUAAGCAGAGUAUGCCUGCUCAGAUGAGCCUUACUCCAGACACUUCUUCAGAAUCCUCUAAGCCUACAAAAGUUCCUAGUGUUAAUCUUGCAGAGCUUCUGAAAGAACAUGGAAUUUUAGAUUCCACACCUCCAUCUUCUCCAGUAGAAUCCACUUCCCAUGAAGAAUCAGUGGUAAAAAAUGAUGCCUUCCCUGUGAUAUCAUCACCUCCAUGUACAGUUGUGACCCAUGUAUCAGGUCCUCAUUCAACUUUUCCUUCCACAAUCAAUUCACAGGUCUAUUAUUCAAUUCCUUCGCAUGCUCAGUUUUCUGUGGCUCAAGAUGGCUCUGUGAUUAUGCAACAACCAAGUCAAUCAUCAAGUGCGGCAGUAGGAACAAGUGUGGUUAUGAGCUCACAAUAUAGCAAUACCUUUGCAACUGACUCUGGAAGGGUACAGAGUGGGCACUCUGCUUUGCUUGAAAGACUUAAUGUAGCUCCUGCUAUACAUGUUCCAGACUUAAUUACAUCAAUGGCCUUAGCUUCUUGUGAAAGUCCUUCAGUGUCAUCAACAGUUGAAAGUAAUUGUGUUCCAUCUAGUGCUUCACCUUGCACACUGCUUCCUCUGACAGUUCAGAACAUUAAUAACAAUAUAGUUCCUGUUAGUAGUCAGUUUCAGCAAGGUUUUGUGACGUUACCUAUUAUUUCUUCUGAUUCAGAUUCUAGACUAUCUGCUGUAUCAGCAGUCCCUUUUACCACUAGUUGUGUUACUACAAAUACAGUACUUACUGCUGCUUCCAUUUUAAGUGAUAAUAAUAUUAAUCGUGUACUAGUUGGUGUCCAGCCAAUCCAACUUCCUGGUAAUACAGGCAAUACUUUGGUAGCAAGUGUGAAACAACCAGUGCCUGCAGGAGUUCCAGGAAGUGUGGCAGUGACAGUUGCAACACCUUCGUUGUCCGAUGCAAGCUCCGAUUCUUCUAUUAUUUAUAAUAACCCUGUGCAGAAAACAUUUUUGACUCCCAACCAACUUCAAAGCUUACCAGAUUCAAAUAGCAAGAAUGCAGGAGGUCCUUCUCUUCAAGGACAGACGAUCCCUUUAACUUUAAAAAGCCAACAUAUACUGCAGAAGGUGCGAGAACAGAUUAAAGAGUUGUUGUCUAAUAAAUCCCUUACUCCACAUCAACAUCAAAUGCUACAACAGCUAUUAACUCUUCAAAAAAAAAUCAUACUUCAAGCUCAGCUGGCACAAUCACAACAUCAGAAUUCACCACAGCAACUACAGCUUGGAACAACAUCAGACACACAAGCCCAAACACCUGUUAUAACUUCAGGAUGUGAAGAAAAAAAUGAGUUGCCAAAAACAGCACCAAAGCUGUCCACAAAUCAACCUUCCAAUUUAGUCAAUCUUUUAAAAAAAGGCCCAUCAUCAUCAUCUCCUACACUCAGGAUAAUUGCUCCUGCAUUGCCAAAUGUCUCAUCUACAGUUCAAGCACAACCAUCAAAUAUUUCCAGUGUUAAUGUGCCAACUCAGGUUAGGAUUGGGAAUCAGAUAAUAACCUUGGCUCCUCAGCAGUGUCAGGCCGUCCAGACGUUUCAGCAGACAACAAAAGGAAUAACACCAGAACAACAAGCCUUUUUAAAACAGCAACAAAAUCAACAAGCCUUAGUUCUGAAGCUCCAAAACCAGAAUCUCCAAACACAAAUGUCUCAAACAGAUUCUUCAUCCAGUCAGCUUACAACAGUUGUAAGCAUGGCCAACCAGUCAGUUGCCUUACAAAAGAUUAUCCAGAUACAAACUUUAGCCAAACCACCUGUGUCAAGUGUUUCCAAGACAGCCUUAUUUCAACAAGAGCUGACACGUGACCAUGAGGCAGUGGCAAAGCCAAAUACUAAAAAACCAUUUAGUUCUAUAGAAGAUUCAUAUAAGAGGCUUCUGUGUUAUCAUGUUUACAAUAGCAAAAUUCCAGGAAAAGAGGAGCUUCAGAAAGUUGACAGCAUGUUUGAUAGAGUCUCAACACACCUUCUUGAAAAAAGUAGAAGAAUGUUUAAUAAAUAUUGCUACCUACUCAUGAAAGAAAGCAUGCGAGUGUGUUCUGAUCCUGAAAGAGUGAUGCUGGAAAGACUUUUUAUUCAGGAAGAAAAAGAAGCUUUGAAACAUGACAGAGAAGCUGUUUCAGAAGGAAAAGACCUCAACCUUCCUCCUCUUCCUGAACAUUGGAUAAGCCAGUCACAUUUCUCAUCACCAUCAAAUGAGGUUAGCAGAACAAUAAGUCAAGAAAGUGAUGAUAGAAGCAUACAGCCUCAGAUUGAUGAACUUUCUACAUCAAGAGCUUUAGUGUCUAAUGAGGAAGAUCAUGAACAAACUUCAAAUGAACUCCUCAAUAAAUAUACUCACAGCAUAAAUAGAAGUUUUCAGUAUCAUAAAGUUAAAGCACAAAAUAUUCAUCAAAGUGAACACUGUGAAGCCCCAGAAAUCAAUAAAUCUGACAUGCCUGUUGCUCCGAGUUCAAAUACUCAGUUAUCAACAUCCCAGAAUAAUAAUAGAAAAAGAGAAAAUCCUUCUGAUUCUCAUGAGGAUGAUAUGAUGACCAAAAUUAGAAAAGAACUCAAUAUUUCUCUACUAGAUGAAGAAGAAGAAGACCAUGAGCCUGAUCUGGGUCAUAUAGACUUUGAAUUUGAACCACCUGUGAUUCGAAGAGAAGAAGCUCGAGAAAAAGCAAUCAUUAAAUCAUUUAGUGGCUUAGAGAGGGAUCUAAACCUCGAUUAUGAUUUCCCAGUUGUAAAUGGCACCUGGCCUGUUUCUUAUUCUGACUCUAGAAAUAAGCAUGUAACACAAAGAGAUUCAGGGAUGGAAAGUAUUUUAACGAGUCAUGAUAAUGAACCAGAACUGGAUCUGUCGGGCAUUGAAGGACUGGAUGGUUUUGAAGACCAUCACAAUGACCUGCAUAAUGGACUGUCGUCAGAAAUUGAUGAUGUGUCUCUGGACGGAGAGUUGACUUAUGAAAAGUUACGGCAUCACGAUCAGCGGACUAGUAGUGGUCAUAUAGGGUUUAAUGAAAUUCCUUCCCAUACUAGUAGAGACGAAACUGAUGAGUUAAAUGCUCAAGUGCAGAGUGCCAUUAAAAGUAUUUUAGAUCUUCAAUCAUCAGAAAGUCGUUCCUAUUGCAGUGAUGGUGAUGGUGAAUUUAUUUCUCAUGUGUACCGCCUAGAAGGACUCGAUGCACAGAGAGACCAAACUCUUACCAACUAUGAGGUCAAUCUAUCCUGUGACGUGGAGUUAGCAAAUGAAUCUGAUGCAGCAAUAGAUGAAGCGGUUCAGAGUAUACUGUUUUAAUGCCUUAUUGUGUAAUUCUGUGAGGACUUCCUUUUUUGCCUUCCUCUAGUCAGAAUACAAAUCAGUUUUAAUGUACAGUUGUUUGCUUUUCUGUUUCUUUGCCUCUGUAUUAACCUCGCUGAUACUUUGUACCAUCUAGUCAGACAGCAGGAUGUUAAACUGCAAUUUUUUAAUUGUAUUUCUUCAUUAUUUUUCAGAAUCUGGGCAUUGUCAGUAACGCAUACAAAAUUUUUUUCCAGUUGCAGAAUUACAUUUGCUUAAUAGAAAAACAUGUAAUCUGAGUGCAUUCUUUAUUUUAUUUUUUAACUUCUAAUUAUAUUUUUAUACUUUCAAGAACAAAACAUUAAUUAACUUAGCAGUAUUUUUAAUCUUUAUUUAUUCACCUUAUUUUAUGGCUUUGAACUCUAUUUGUCCAUGCUUUAAUUUUCUGAUGACAGAUAUUAUAAGUUUGUGUUUAAAGUACUUAUUGAAAUCAUGUGUUAUUUUAUUUUUCGGUAAUAGCUUUUCAAGUUUUUGAUAUUACCUUGGAUUAACAUUAAGCAGUACAUACAUUGCUUUACUGAUAGAUUCUAGAGGAUAAUGUAAGUAUUAAAUGUUAUUAUGCCAAAUACGAUUUUAAAAAUGUAAAAGUAGAAAAUGAGUGUUUUGGUAUUUGGAGUUUAUCCCCAACAUUUUUAUUUAAACUAGGGUAACCCUUUAUAAUUCUUUAGUACAUGAACAGUUUCAUAUUUUGGACAGGGGGGGGGGGUAAAUAGAAGACAAAAAAGAAGUGUAAAUACUGGAAAGCAAAAAAAUAUAAGUUGGUGAUAAUUUUAAGUUGUUGAGUAUAUAUGUUUUAUAUGAUUUCAGAUAAAAUUGUGGUUGUAACAGAAAUGUAUCAAAACAUCUCCAUUACAUGUUGUAGAAGCUUUUGUGUUGUUUAUACUUGUAGCAAUCACUCUUUCAUUUUUUUACAGACGUUGUUAAUAUGAAAUAUUUUUUGUCAAGUGUCGAAAAUUGCAAAUAACAUUCACAGAGUGAACAACUCGAAACACUAGUAAAUCUGUAAUGUGGAAAUGUGUGUAUAGCAUAUUCAAGAUUUUGUAGGAAACUGGAAAAAAAAAGUUUUUUUUACUUUCUUAAAUUGCAUUCCUUCUAUAUUUUAAGUUAAUCCGAAACAAGAAAUGCUCAAAGCAUUCACAUAUUUGUAUAUAUUUUGAAUUAAUAAUUGAACAUUUCUAUCCAUUUAAGUACUGUUAUAAUGUUCCAGAUUGAACUAUGAACCAUUUUUGGUUGUGUUUUUUUUUUUAUGAGCUGAUGUAUGUUUUACUCAGAUCAAUGAUCCUUUAGAUUUGCAUUAACUUUUAAGGCAUGUUUUGCUCUUCAAAAACUCUUAACGACUGUUAAUCAGUCGUUGCCUAGUGAGUCAUUUAAAUUAUGCAUACUAUUAGUAAACCUUCAGUAACUGUUAUAAAGGGAAGUUAUUUUAUCUUAUGCACUAACUAUAUUUAAAUAUGAGUAGUUAAAAGUCUUCUUUGAUUUUAGCUUUUAUGCAGUUUUUCUUAGUCUGAACAGCGUGAUAAAUAAAUGAUAAGUAGCACUGUUAGUAACUUUACUUUAUUAAUGCCACAAAAUUGUUCAACUUAUUUUAAUGAUAAAUUUCUCCUCUUUUAGUCUCAUAUUUCUGUGCAUGAUUUUGAAUGUAAAUAAUGCAAGAUUAGAAUAAGCUGUUUCUGGUUAUAAACUUUCUGUCACAUUCUGUUUAUUUUAAUUAUUAUUUAAUAACUAAAGCUCUAAAACACAUUAGUAAAAUGUGUAUUAAGUUGAAAGAGUCAACAGUUAACACACUUUUUUUUUCCAAGUUCAUUUGUCUUAACCCAAAUUUUUCUUGUGCAUAAAUAUAUUCCUAACUGGGGGAAAUUGUUUAUUAAUUUACAUCUCUUACUUAUUAUUAAUGAAGGGACACCCUUCUUGUGUUAAGCGUACUUAUUUUUGUUAGUUUCUAUACAAUUUUACCUCAACUUAGUUUAAUUGAUAUUUUUCUGUCCAUACUUAACAGUGCCAGUGGUUUGUUCUGAUUUAAAUUUCAAAAGGGCAGAAUGUGUUUCAGAUAUAAAAACAAAGAUUUUAUGAGCAAAAAAUAAUAAUAAAAUCAGUAGAAAAGAGAGAUACAUUUAGGUUUGUUAAAGUUUAUAUUUCAUUUCUAGCGUGUUUUUAUUUGGGUUGCUUUACAGUAUGAAAAACAA